GGCAGGCGCGGGAACGAAAUGAGUCACGAGAUAUCACCACGAUUCAGCCAUAACGAUUACACUGUAAUCACAGUAAACCUGGAAGUAAUUGCUGAUUUGCUGUCAGUCCAGCAAGAAGAGACAACCAGUCAACAUACAUAGCACACGGCGCUGAUACAGGACUCUAGUCUAAAGAGUCUUGGAAAAGAAACGUGAUUAUAAGCAGUGCUGAAUAGCUACCAUCGGCGGGAUUCGGGAAUAGUAUUGUUAGGAAACAACAGAUGUUCCUUACAAGCUGUACUCAGUCUCACUAAUGCCGGGAGCUCAUAGUAUGUGACUGCAGUAAAAACAGUAUAAAUCAAAGGAUCUGCAUACCUUGCAACAUUGACAGCAAAAUGAUUAUCAUUUGAUUGUUAAAGAAUUACAAAUACACUUAUAUGGGAUCGGCUGUGCUACUACCCAAGACUUCUGGAAAUGCAAUUAUGUUCCUAUUGACUGUUGAGGCUGCGUUAAAAUGUUUGUAUUUAUGAAACCUUUAAAGUAAAUCUGUAAUGGGAA